UGGGGAAUUUUGCACAAUGGGGGAAACCCUGAUGCAGCGACGCCGCGUGAUUUAGAAGGCCUUCGGGUUGUAAAAAUCUUUUCUAUGGGAAGAAAAUGACAGUACCAUAGGAAUAAGGACUGGCUAAUUACGUGCCAGCAGCCGCGGUAAUACGUAAGGUCCGAGCGUUGUCCGGAAUCAUUGGGCGUAAAGGGUACGUAGGCGGGUAAGCAAGUUAGAAGUGAAAUCCUGUAGCUCAACUACAGUAAGCUUUUAAAACUGCUCAUCUUGAGAUAUGGAAGGGAAAGUGGAAUUCCUAGUGUAGCGGUGAAAUGCGCAGAUAUUAGGAGGAAUACCGGUGGCGAAGGCGACUUUCUGGCCAUAAUCUGACGCUGAGGUACGAAAGCGUGGGUAGCAAACAG
rnacentral:rRNA from 1 species